ensembl:rRNA 5S_rRNA 5S ribosomal RNA
GUCGACGGUCAUACCACCCUGUACACACCUGAUCUCCUCUGACGUUGGAAACUAAGCAGGGUCAGGUCUGGUUAGCAUUUGACUGGGAGAAUAUGAGAGCCUGAAACUGCUACU